AUGUGUUUGAUUCUUGGUUUAUUAGCUUUUUCAAAUUAUAAUUUUGGGAUUAGUUUAAUUGGAUGGCCAUGACCUAUAAGGGGUGAUUGAAUUGGUUCACUUCUGCCAAUGCACUUUUAUGUUCAUAAUGGUUUCCUUGGUCAUUGAAAUCGAGAGCCGGAGUCACCGUGAAUGAAUUCAAGAGCCAAAUAAGUCCAGAAAAACUUCUCUCUUUCAAGUGGAAAGACUUCAAGAACUUAGACUUGUCAGUGCUUCAAGAUUGCCGAAGUGGAGAUUAUAUGCCUGCAUACACUAGUCUGUUUUUGUGACUUGAGAUAAGCAACAUUCUUGUUCUUUUUUUCCAUUUGAGUUGGUACUGUCAGUCCAAGUUGUCAAUUUAUGUUACUGUUGCAAUUUUCAAGGCUUAGUAUGAUCUGUUGCUUUUCUUUCUCUUUUACCUUUGGGUUCAGAUUACUGAACAUCAGUUGCUAAAAUAUUUUAUUGACAUCAUUUCAAUAUUAUUCUUAUUUUGUAACUGCUUAUUUCACUCCAUUGGUUGCUCAACUAAUUUGAGCCCAUAUGAUCUUUUAGGGGAAUGAUAUCUCUCUUGCGUUAAUCUCUGAUACAAGGCUUUUCAAGCUUCGAUUAGAACGAAAGAUUAGUCUCUUAAAUGAAGAACUAAAUGAACUGUAAUCAAAAGUGGUAAAUUAUUCAGACCAUAUUUAUGUCCAAAUAAUUGUGUGUCGAAUAGCUCUGUUACUUGGUUUUUGAUACGUUCUUGUAACUUACCGCUAGCACCUAUACUUGGUCCACCUAAUUUUUUGCAUUCCAAAUGUUUAUGUUGAUGAGAUAGCUUGAAGUUCCUGUCCCUAUGCAGGUAGAUAUCUUGACAAAUGAGGUUGAGAUCGACGUAAUGAAGAGCAGAAUCAUUCACUGUUUGGGCGAUGGUGAUAUGCGUCGGGAACUCGGGAUACAGAUGAGGAAGAACAUGAAGAUGAGAACGUAGAUUAUGUAUUAGGAGCUGUUGUUUUUCUAUAUGCCACCUUAGUAUCAUUUUAGUCUUUGUUAAAGAAUACUUUGAAGCUGGAUAAGAGUUGAUUAAUGCUACAUUGUUAUUCUUUUAUUGGAAUUAAAGUGAGUGUUUCAAUCUGACUAUUA